rnacentral:rRNA from 1 species
GGGUGCGAUCAUACCAGCACUAAUGCACCGGAUCCCAUCAGAACUCCGCAGUGAAGCGUGCUUGGGCGAGAGUAGUACAAGGAUGGGUGACCUCCUGGGAAGUCCUCGUGUUGCACCCC